UGUUGUCUUGAGUCAAUCUUAUGAAAUGUUUGUGAAGAGAUUGCCGGGAACCUUUCAAGCCUUGGUUUCGAAAUUAUGAAAACAGGCGGUUUGGUGGUUAAGUAAAUAUCGCAUCGCAGUGCUGAUCGCCAAUUGUCGAUCAUGCAUUGCACCUGAGCUGGGUGAGGUUUAGGUUAACUAGGGUAAAUCUAGUGCCAUGAAAGAAAUCUUUACGUUGUCCCUAAAUAUUUUAGAUCAUAAGUGGCAG
rnacentral:lncRNA from 1 species